rnacentral:misc_RNA from 1 species
GAUAAAAGGAUAAACAUUUUAGUACAUUUUAUAUUAUAUAAAUAAUACUCAUAAUUCAGUGAUACCAUACUAAUACAAGUAAAAGCGCACAAAUAUUACUAAGACGGAAAGAGACACAAGCAAAUUGAUCGAAGGAAACCAGCAUUUCUAUUCCUUCGUUGUGGAGCCGUUUUCGAAGAAUCGAACGCUCUGCGAUAAUAUUUUUUAAAAGUUCGUAUAAUAUAAUCCAUGAGAUACUACUUACAGCUUGGCUAGUGUUUUGUUUGCAUCCUCGUCCCCAUAAUCUCCCACAGUCUCAUCAGAACCAAGCGAAUUCAGUAGCUCCACAAACAGUGUUUUUCUACAUGCAGCGUACGUUUUUCCAUCCCAAUUUCUGCUCACCAAUUCUUCACUCAACUUAAUUGCUGCCUCCACAGUUUCUUCCGCUCCACUAUGAGCCGAAUCCACAAAACCCAUUUCGACUCCCAUCUCAGCCGUUACUUUAGCAGCCUUCAUCACCACCUCACGCCGGACCGCUGGCGAUCCCAUUCUGCACUUCACUAAAGCCGAAAACCAAGUCGGUAUCGGAAACCCAAUAUCCAGCUCGCUCAUGUAGAGAAACCCUCGAUCUUUGCGCAUCAAGAUGUAGUCAUGGCAAAGCGCGAAAACGAAGCCGGCAGCGGAAGCGUGACCGGUGACGGCGGCGAUUGUUGGCAUAGGUAGGGUUAUUAGGUCGGAAACGAGACAUCGGAGUUUUCUGGACAUGAGUUUUUGGCGGGCGUUGUCCACUAAGGCCCACUUAAGAUCGUAACCAUUGGAGAAGUAUUUGCCUUGGGCUGUGGUAAUCAGAGCGGAGGAAGAGGAAGUAGAGUCGGAUCUGACGCGGCGGAGAGCGGCAGAGAUGGAGUCGAUAAGGUUGGGAUGUAAACGGUGGUCACCGGUGCCGGUUAAAAUUAGGAGGAAGAUAUUGCCUCUCUUUUCUAAUGUGCAAAGCCCUUCUGAUUCCAUUCUGUGGAUGGAAGAGAAAGUGGCUAAACAGUAUCACAGUAUUAAUUUAUCUCCUCUCUUAAUUCUUACUUUGUCAUAUUUUGAUUUUCAGUUAAAUUAUAUAAAUCAAAAUUAUCUUGAAA